AUACGGAGGGUGCAAGCGUUAUCCGGAAUCAUUGGGUUUAAAGGGUCCGUAGGCGGGCUAUUAAGUCAGGGGUGAAAUCCCACAGCUUAACUGUGGAACUGCCCUUGAUACUGUUGGUCUUGAGUUACAGUGAAGUGGUUAGAAUGUGUAGUGUAGCGGUGAAAUGCAUAGAGAUUACACAGAAUACCGAUUGCGAAGGCAGAUCACUAACUGUAUACUGACGCUAAUGGACGAAAGCGUGGGGAGCGAACAGGAUUAGAAACCCUUGUAGUCC
rnacentral:rRNA from 1 species